AUUGAACGCUGGCGGCAGGCCUAACACAUGCAAGUCGAACGAGUGGCGGACGGGUGAGUAAUGUCUGGGAAACUGCCUGAUGGAGGGGGAUAACUACUGGAAACGGUAGCUAAUACCGCAUACCAUCGGAUGUGCCGAGAUGGGAUUAGCUAGUAGGUGGGGUAAAGGCUCACCUAGGCGACGAUCCCUAGCUGGUCUGAGAGGAUGACCAGCGACACGGGAAAGUAGAUACGGUGCAGACGCCGAAGGGAGGCAGCAGUGGGGAAUAUUGCACAAUGGGCGCAAGCCUGAUGCAGCCAUGCCGUGUGUAUGAAGAAGGCAGUCGGGUUGUAAAGUACUUUCAGCGGGGAGGCGUUACCCGCAGAAGAAGCACCGGCUAACUCCGUGCCAGCCGCCGCGGUAAUAC
rnacentral:rRNA from 1 species